rnacentral:rRNA from 1 species
GGAAAUCUCAUCAGGCCCGGACACUGGAAGGAUUGACAGAUUGAUACCUCUUUCUUGAUUCUGUGGGUGGUGGUGCAUGGCCGUUCUUAGUUGGUGGAGUGAUUUGUCUGGUUAAUUCCGAUAACGAACGAGACUCUGUCCUGCUAAAUAGUGACGCGGUUCAUCGAACCGUGGGCCACUUCUUAGAGGGACUAUCGGAUUCAAACCGAUGGAAGUGUGAGGCAAUAA